rnacentral:rRNA from 1 species
AGACGGAGGGCGCGAGCGUUGUUCGGAAUUACUGGGCGUAAAGCGCGCGCAGGCGGAUGGGCAAGUCGGAAGUGAAAGCCCGGGGCUCAACCCCGGGACUGCUCCCGAUACUGCUUGUCUAGGGACCGGUAGAGGCUGGUGGAAUUGCUGGUGUAGCGGUGGAAUGCGUAGAUAUCAGCAAGAACACCCGUGGCGAAGGCGGCCAGCUGGGCCGGAUCCGACGCUGAGGCGCGAAAGCGUGGGGAGCAAACAGGAUUAGAUACCCUGGUAGUCCACGCCGUAAACGAUGGGUGCUAGAUGCCGGGGGGAGCGACCCCUUCGGUGUCGUAGCCAACGCGUUAAGCACCCCGCCUGGGGAGUACGGCCGCAAGGCUGAA